rnacentral:rRNA from 1 species
CGCUCUUUGAUUAUUUUAUAUAAAGAGUCGAGCCUGCCCAGUGAUUUUAUUUAACGGCCGCGGUACUCUGACCGUGCAAAGGUAGCAUAAUCAUUUGCCUUAUAAUUGAAGGCUAGAAUGAAUGGUUUGACAAGAAUAGUACUGUCUCCAUAUAAAUUUUAUAAAAUUUGGUUUUUAGGUGAAGAAACCUAAAUGGUAUUGAAAGACAAGAAGACCCUAUCGAGCUUAAAAUAAUUUAUUUGAAAUUUGUUAAUAUCAGCUUCAGGUAAAAAUUUUGGUUGGGGCGACUAAGGAAUAUAAAAAGCUUCCUAUAAAAUUUAGAAACUUUUAUGUUUUGAUCCAAAAAUUUUGAUUAACAGAAUUAGUUACCGUAGGGAUAACAGCAUAAUCUUUUUUGAGAGUUCUUAUCGAAAAAAAGGUUUGUGACCUCGAUGUUGGACUAGGAUAUUCAGAAAGGUGCAGAAGCCUUCAAUGGUUGGUCUGUUCGACCAUUAAAAUCCUACA